rnacentral:lncRNA from 13 species
UCUGAAAGUUGGCAGGCUCAAGACCCAGCAAGAGCUGAUGUUUCAGCUCAAGACAAAGAGAACAGAUCUUUCAGCUCAGAGCCGUCAAGCAGUAGGAAUUCUCUCUUACUAGUGGGAGAAUCAUCCUUUUUGUUCUCUUCAGGCCAUCAACUGAUUGGAUGAGAGGAGGGCAAUCUGCUUUAUUCAGUCUAUUAAUUCAAAUGUUAAUCUUAGCCCCAAACACCCUCACAAACACACCUAGAAUAAUGUUUGACCAAAUAUCUGUGCACCCUAUGGCCCCAUCACGGUUAAUGUGUAAAAUUAAUCAUCGCAGUUGUGCAAGCAACUUUUUGCCUCAUUUCUAAGUUUUUGUGAUUUUUCUAGAACCUGGGAUAGAGGAAUGAAUCACACCAGUGUUUUUUCACUAUUUUUCCUCUCUCUCGCUUCAUAUGAACAGUUUUUGUCAUUUAUGUGCCAUAGUUUGCAGGGCUGUAUGUGGAACGUAAGGUACAUUAUCUAUAGUAUGUAUCUGAUUAUGCUCUUGUUUGCCCAAAUUUUAAAAAAAAAUGAUUAGAUUGGAGUUUGGCUUGUAAUAGGUCAAAGUCUUGAAGUCGGAGGAAAAAUUUGAAUUGCUUAAUAAAAUGAAGUUUUUAUGAUUUACAGGGCUCUUAAAACAACUGAAACUAGAUUAAUUAUGCGGUGUCAAUUAAAGGUGCUUAUAGUCUUCUUUCCUGGAUGGGUAAAAAGGACAGUGUGUUGAGCAUAUUCAUUGUUUGGUUUUAAACAUAGAUUCUGCUAAAGCAGCUGGAAGUGUGUGAAGGCAGUUCACAUGAUGGAGUAGGCCAGCCUUCCCUGUGAUCUGUGUCCACUGGCUCUGGAGGUACUUGUAGGGUCCAGCCCUACAGGGUUCUGUGAGCCCCUCUCUGCUGGUGUGGAGACGAGAAACUGUAGAAAUAAAGACACAAGACACAGAGAUGGAGAAAAGAAGGCUUGGGCCCAUGCAUCCACUACCAACCAAAGGGUGGAGUCUGGCAGUGGCCCCAGUGCCUGGACGCUCUCACUUUUAUUGAGUUACAAAUCUCGGGGCAGGGAAGGUAGGGUGUGGCCUUGGUGGUUGGAGACUGGGGGCAGGGUGGAUGGGGGCAUGGCAGUGAUCAGGGUCAAGUACAUAACGUGUCAAACAGAUAGGGGCUCAGGAAUUUUCUGUAGCCGAGAUGAGGUAAGGGGCAUAAUGCAUCAACACUUUUUCCAUACGUGUCACAAAGGCAUUAAGAUUUACCUUACUUUUACUGAUUAA